rnacentral:rRNA from 1 species
CCGUAGCCCUGAUGACCGGGACAACCCGAGGAAACUCGGGCUAAUACCGGAUGUGCUCCCACCACAUCAGUGGUGUGAGUAAAGAUAGCUUCGGCCUUCGCAUCGGGAUGGGCCCGCGGCGCAUUAGCUUGUUGGUGGGGUAACGGCCUACCAAGGCAGCGAUGCGUAGCUGGUCUGAGAGGACGAUCAGCCACACUGGGACUGAGACACGGCCCAG